UAGGGAAUAUUGCACAAUGGGCGCAAGCCUGAUGCAGCCAUGCCGCGUGUGUGAAGAAGGCCUUCGGGUUGUAAAGCACUUUCAGCGGGGAGGAAGGCGUUAAGGUUAAUAACCUUGGCGAUUGACGUUACCCGCAGAAGAAGCACCGGCUAACUCCGUGCCAGCAGCCGCGGUAAUACGGAGGGUGCAAGCGUUAAUCGGAAUUACUGGGCGUAAAGCGCACGCAGGCGGUUUGUUAAGUCAGAUGUGAAAUCCCCGGGCUUAACCCGGGAAUUGCAUCUGAUACUGGUCAGCUAGAGUCUUGUAGAGGGGGGUAGAAUUCCAUGUGUAGCGGUGAAAUGCGUAGAGAUGUGGAGGAAUACCGGUGGCGAAGGCGGCCCCCUGGACAAAGACUGACGCUCAGGUGCGAAAGCGUGGGGAGCAAACAGG
rnacentral:rRNA from 1 species